rnacentral:rRNA from 1 species
UACCUGCAGCUCAAGUGGUGACCACUAUUAUUGGGCCUAAAACGUUCGUAGCCGGUUUAUUAAAUGCUUGGGUAAAUCGUGUAGCUUAACUAUACGAAUUCCGGGUAGACUGAUAGACUUGAGACCGGGAGAAGCUAGAGGUACUCCUGGGGUAGAGGUGAAAUUCUGUAAUCCUGGGGGGACCACCAGUGGCGAAGGCGUCUAGCUAGAACGGGUCUGACGGUGAGGAACGAAGCCCUGGGGCGCAAACCGGAUUAGAUACCCGGGUAGUCCAGGGUGUAAACGCUGCUUGCUUGAUGUUAGUUGGGCUCCGAGCCCAAUUAGUGUCGGAGAGAAGUUGUUAAGCAAGCUGCCUGGGAAGUACGAUCGCAAGAUUGAAACUUAAAGGAAUUGGGCGGGGGAGCACAGCAACGGGUGAAGCCUGCGGUUAC